AUUGAACGCUGGCGGCAUGCCUUACACAUGCAAGUCGAACGGUAACGCGGGGCAACCUGGCGACGAGUGGCGAACGGGUGAGUAAUGCAUCGGAACGUGCCCAGUAGUGGGGGAUAGCCCGGCGAAAGCCGGAUUAAUACCGCAUACGACCUACGGGUGAAAGCGGGGGACCGCAAGGCCUCGCGCUAUUGGAGCGGCCGAUGUCAGAUUAGGUUGUUGGUGGGGUAAAGGCCUACCAAGCCGACGAUCUGUAGCUGGUCUGAGAGGACGAUCAGGCACACUGGGACUGAGACACGGCCCAGACUCCUACGGGAGGCAGCAGUGGGGAAUUUUGGACAAUGGGCGCAAGCCUGAUCCAGCCAUGCCGCGUGCGGGAAGAAGGCCUUCGGGUUGUAAACCGCUUUUGUCAGGGAAGAAACGCUCUGGGCUAAUACCCCGGGGUAAUGACGGUACCUGAAGAAUAAGCACCGGCUAACUACGUGCCAGCAGCCGCCGUAA
rnacentral:rRNA from 1 species